rnacentral:lncRNA from 1 species
GGAUAUUUAUAACUAGAUUGUCAAAACUAAGGUAGUGAGUUCAAAUCCUGCAUGUGGCAGGUGCGCUCGACUAUAAUCUUAAUUUACUAGGAUUGCCAGGUUUUUUACGAUGUCAAUGGUUCUCUCCUUGAAAUACGGCUUUCUCCACCAAUAUAAACUGGCCACUUAUGAAAUAAUUUUAAAAGUGACGUUUAAACACCAACACUAAAUUAAUCAUGCAUGCGUUAUUUACUGGUCACGUGGUAAAGUAGCACUCUGGUUAAUUUAUAUCUCCUGAUUAUUACACUGUGUAAUCAGAGGCAUUUUUAAAAUAAAAGAAAACAAUACGUCAGAGCUUAAUAUCACAGUCUUAACACAACAUUGUUUUAAUUAGAAAAGUAUUUUCUAAAACUGCUAUCCCCUUGAAAAGUCGUAACAGGAGUCGUACGUCCUAUCUUUCACUCUCUAUGAUCUUUCUAGUUGACUCAUAUUUUUAUUAUUAUUACAUUACUUUUAUAUAGCGC